rnacentral:rRNA from 1 species
UGCUGACGACCGGCGCACGGGUGCGUAACGCGUAUAGAACCUACCUUAUAGUAAGGGAUAGCCCAGAGAAAUUUGGAUUAAUACCUUAUGGUAUCAUAAAUUGGCAUCGAUUAUUGAUUAAAGAUUUAUCGCUAUAAGAUGGCUAUGCGUUCUAUUAGCUAGUUGGUAUGGUAACGGCAUACCAAGGCUACGAUAGAUAGGGGUCCUGAGAGGGAGAUCCCCCACACUGGUACUGAGACACGGACCAGACUCCUACGGGAGGCAGCAGUGAGGAAUAUUGGACAAUGGAGGCAACUCUGAUCCAGCCAUGCCGCGUGUAGGAAGACUGCCCUAUGGGUUGUAAACUACUUUUAUAGAGGAAGAAACCCCGAUAUGUAUAUCGGUCUGACGGUACUCUACGAAUAAGGAUCGGCUAACUCCGUGCCAGCAGCCGCGGUAAUACGGAGGAUCCAAGCGUUAUCCGGAAUCAUUGGGUUUAAAGGGUCCGUAGGCGGGUUUGUAAGUCAGUGGUGAAAGUUUACGGCUCAACCGUGAAAUUGCCAUUGAUACUGCAAGUCUUGAAUCAUUAUGAAGUGGUUAGAAUAAGUAGUGUAGCGGUGAAAUGCAUAGAUAUUACUUAGAAUACCGAUUGCGAAGGCAGAUCACUAAUAAUGUAUUGACGCUAGGGACGAAAGCGUGGGUAGCGAACAGGAUUAGAUACCCUGGUAGUCCACGCCGUAAACGAUGGUUACUAGCUGUUCGGACUUCGGUUUGAGUGGCUAAGCGAAAGUGAUAAGUAACCCACCUGGGGAGUACGUUCGCAAGAAUGAAACUCAAGGAAUUGACGGGGCCCGCACAAGCGGUGGAGCAUGUGGUUUAAUUCGAUGAUACGCGAG